AACGCUAUGGGCCUCUCGUUCUGCUCGUCAUCCCGUUGGAAGAGUACGGCUCCUACCCCAUAAUGUGAGGCGUCGCACUGUAUGUAGAAGUGCCGCUUGAAAUCCGCGUGUACCAGGACUGGUGCCGAGGGCGUCUGCGAGCGGAGCGGCCAUCUCAGCAUAGUUCUUCAUAAAGCGCCGGUACCAGCCCGCAGUUCCCAGGAAACUACGCAAUUCUCGAACAGAUCGCGGCUCGGGAAUGCGUAAAAUGGCCGACACACGAUCCGGAUCCAUCUUCAGCGCUCCUCCUCCCACUAUAAAUCCCAGACGCUCGGCAACCUGUCGCAGAAUCUUCACGUGCGUUUCAAAGUCCUCAGCUAUAAUCAGCAACUCGUCGAGAUACGCAUA